AGAGUUUGAUCAUGGCUCAGAUUGAACGCUGGCGGCAUGCCUUACACAUGCAAGUCGAACGCGAAAGGGGGCAACCCCGAGUAGAGUGGCGAACGGGUGAGCAAUACAUCGGAACGUGUCCUGUAGCGGGGGACGACCUCGAGAAAUCGAGGCUAAUACCGCAUACGAUCUACGGAUGAAAGUGGGGGACCGCAAGGCCCCACACUAUAGGAGCGGCCGAUGCCGGAUUAGCUAGUUGGUGGGGUAAAAGCCUACCAAGGCGACGAUCCGUAGCUGGUUUGAGAGAACGACCAGCCACACUGGGACUGAGACACGGCCCAGACUCCUACGGGAGGCAGCAGUGGGGAAUUUUGGACAAUGGGCGAAAGCCUGAUCCAGCCAUGCCGCGUGAGUGAAGAAGGCCUUCGGGUUGUAAAGCUCUUUCGGCGGGGACGAAAUUGCGCGGGGUAACAUCCCGCGUAGAUGACGGUACCCGAAGAAGAAGGACCGGCUAACUACGUGCCAGCAGCCGCGGUAAUACGUAGGGUCCAAGCGUUAAUCGGAAUUACUGGGCGUAAAGCGUGUGUAGGCGGUUUCGAAAGUCCGAUGUGAAAUCCCCGGGCUUAACCUGGGAACUGCGUUGGAAACUACGAGGCUAGAGUGCGGCAGAGGGGGGUGGAAUUCCAGGUGUAGCAGUGAAAUGCGUAGAGAUCUGGAGGAACACCGAUGGCGAAGGCAGCCCCCUGGGCCAGCACUGACGCUGAUACACGAAAGCGUGGGGAGCAAACAGGAUUAGAUACCCUAGUAGUCC
rnacentral:rRNA from 1 species